AUCCUGGUGGCGAGUGGCGAACGGGUGAGUAAUAUAUCGGAACGUGCCCAGUCGUGGGGGAUAACGCAGCGAAAGCUGUGCUAAUACCGCAUACGAUCUCUGGAUGAAAGCGGGGGACUCGCAAGGGCCUCGCGCGAUUGGAGCGGCCGAUAUCAGAUUAGCUAGUUGGUGGGGUAAAAGCCCACCAAGGCGACGAUCUGUAGCUGGUCUGAGAGGACGACCAGCCACACUGGAACUGAGACACGGUCCAGACUCCUACGGGAGGCAGCAGUGGGGAAUUUUGGACAAUGGGCGCAAGCCUGAUCCAGCAAUGCCGCGUGCAGGAUGAAGGCCUUCGGGUUGUAAACUGCUUUUGUACGGAACGAAAAGGUCUGCCUUAAUACGGUGGGCUCAUGACGGUACCGUAAGAAUAAGCACCGGCUAACUACGUGCCAGCAGCCGCGGUAAUACGUAGGGUGCGAGCGUUAAUCGGAAUUACUGGGCGUAAAGCGUGCGCAGGCGGUUAUAUAAGACAGAUGUGAAAUCCCCGGGCUCAACCUGGGACCUGCAUUUGUGACUGUAUAGCUAGAGUACGGUAGAGGGGGAUGGAAUUCCGCGUGUAGCA
rnacentral:rRNA from 1 species